rnacentral:rRNA from 1 species
CCUACGGGUGACAGCAGUGAGGAAUAUUGGUCAAUGGACGAGAGUCUGAACCAGCCAAGUAGCGUGAAGGAUGACGGCCCUAUGGGUUGUAAACUUCUUUUAUAUGGGAAUAAAAUGUUCCACGUGUGGGAUUUUGUAUGUACCAUAUGAAUAAGGAUCGGCUAACUCCGUGCCAGCAGCCGCGGUAAUACGGAGGAUCCGAGCGUUAUCCGGAUUUAUUGGGUUUAAAGGGAGCGUAGGUGGAUUGUUAAGUCAGUUGUGAAAGUUUGCGGCUCAACCGUAAAAUUGCAGUUGAAACUGGCAGUCUUGAGUACAGUAGAGGUGGGCGGAAUUCGUGGUGUAGCGGUGAAAUGCUUAGAUAUCACGAAGAACUCCGAUUGCGAAGGCAGUUCACUGGACUGCAACUGACACUGAGGCUCGAAAGUGUGGGUAUCAAACAGGAUUAGAUACCCGUGUAGUC